GAUGAAGAACGCAGCGAAAUGCGAUACGUAAUGUGAAUUCCAGAAUUCAGUGAAUCAUCGAAUCUUUGAACGCAUAUUGCGCUCUCUGGUAUUCCGGAGAGCAUGCUUGUUUGAGUAUCAGUAAUCACCUCAACUUCCAUAUCUUUUUUGAAAUGGGAGUUGGACUUGAGUGAUCCCAACGCUUUUCCUCACCGAAAAGUGGCGGGUUACUUGAAAUGCAGGUGCAGCUGGACUUUUCUCUGAGCUAUAAGCAUAUCUAUUUAGUCUGCCUAAAAAACAGAUUAUUACCUUUGCUGCAGCUAACAUAAAGGAGAUUAGUUCUUGUGCUGACUGAUGCAGGAUUCACAAAGACAGGCUUCGGCCGACUUUGUAAACUCGAUCUCAAAUCAAGUAAGACUACCCGCUGAACUUAAGCAUAUCAAUAAGCGGAGGA
rnacentral:misc_RNA from 1 species